CUGGUUGAUCCUGCCAGUAGUGUAUGCUUCUCCUAAAGACUAAGCCAUGCAUGCCUUCGAAUAAGAGGAAGCAAUUCUCUCUGAAUCUGCGAACGGCUCCGCAAACCAGUUGUAAACAAUAGCAAGCAAGCCCGGGUCUGGUCUUCACGGGUCAGGCUCGGGUAACACGGAUAACCCUGGUAAUUCUGAGGCUAAUACGAGAACGCAACCCCUGGUCGACCGGGCAACUGGAAGGUUGGGAAGCGUGUACUAGAUCGCGAGGAAGACGCCGGGAAAGGAUGCACGCUUGGACCGCGCUAAACAAGGAUCAGGUUACCGACCUCACGGAAGGUGGCCUGGCCCUAGCGGCUCUUGCAAUGUGCUUCUGACCUAUCAACUAGAUGGCAGCGUAACGGACAUGCUAUGGUUACAACGGGUACAGAGGAUUAGGGUUCGAUCCUGGAGAGUGGGCCUGAGAGAUUGCUCAUACUUCUAAGGAAGGCAGCAGGCGCGCAACGUUCCCCUUGGGCAAUGCCCGAGGGCGUUAGGGGACAUAUGAAUGCCUGCCCUAUGGGUGGGCAAUUCAAAUGGGUUUGUUGUAAACAGCCCUUCGAGUAACAAUUAGAGGACAAGUCUGGUGCCAGCACCCGCGGUAAUUCCAGCUCUAAUAGCAUACGUUAAAGUUGUUGCAGUUAAAACGCUCGUAGUCGGCUUCAGACCGUCAGAAGCCUAAGCUGGGAAUCCGGAUCCGUGUCCUUCACUGGGCUGGCCGGAGGACUGGCGAGGGUAGGCGGCGGUCAAGUGUGCCCCGGUUCCUCUCUCCGGAGUGACAGGGUCAGGCUUUCGUUCCCUCACGGGGGCGGGGGUCUGGCUCGGACCGAGGUACCACUUACCAUGAUCAAACUGAGGUGAUCAAAGCAGGUCAUUCGACCUUGCACAGCACAGCAUGGCAUAAGCCAAACCGGCUCGGGGCUCCCUCGCGGGUCCCGGGUCGGUAGAAGCGAAAGGGGUGUUCGAGGGUGACCGAAUUGCCGGGCGAGUGGUGAAAUACGUUGACCCUGGCAAGUCGACCCAAGGCGAAAGCAGUCAUCAAGGGCACACCCGUUGAUCAAGAGCGAAAGUUAAGGGUUCGAAGACGAUCAGAUACCGUCGUAGUCUUAACUAUAAAUGAUACUGACCAGGGAUAGGAUACUGUCCAUCUCGACUCUUCCCGGACCUUAGAGAAAUCACAGUCUUUGAGUUCUGGGGGGAGUAUGGUCGCAAGGCUGAAACUUAAAGGAAUUGACGGAAGGGCACACAAAGAGUGGAACCUGCGGCUUAAUUUGACUCAACACGGGAAAACUCACCAGGUCCAGAUACACGGAUGAAAGACAAGCUGACAGACUUUUCUCAAUGAUGUAAGUGGUGGUGCAUGGUCGUUCUUAGUUCGUGGAGUGAUUUGUCUGGUCUAUUCCGAUAACGAGCGAGACCCCGACGUUCCUAAUAGGGGUAGCAGCCCGGCUCGGUCGCAAGACCCUGCUAGCCGCUACCUCAUACAAGCUUCUUAGACGUAUCAGAGCCGAUAAGGUUCUUGAAAUGGGUUAAUAACAGGUCAGUCAUGCCCUUAGAUGUUCUGGGCCGCACGCGCGUUACAAUGGCAUGUAAAGAAAGUGCCUACAAGGGCGUAUCCGCGGCUCUACGGGUCGCGGUAACCCKUAGUCCCUGCCUUGACUGGGACAGACUAUUGUAAUUAUUGGUCUCAAACGAGGAAUUUUUAGUAGUCGCAGGUCAUYAGCCUGCGACGAAUGCGUCCCUGCCCUUUGUACACACCGCCCGUCGCUGCUACCGAUUGGGUUUUGCGGUUACGAGUUCGGAGGUCGUGGCUCCCCGUUUGUUCACGCAGGCGGUAACCAUAGCCAAAGUCCUAAUUACCGCACGGCCUAGAGGAAGCAGAAGUCGUAACAAGGUAAUCGUAGGUGAACCUGCGUUUGGAUCAUUUA
rnacentral:rRNA from 1 species